rnacentral:rRNA from 1 species
UACAGAGGGUGCGAGCGUUAAUCGGAAUUACUGGGCGUAAAGCGUGCGCAGACGGUCAUGUAAGUCGGGUGUGAAAGCCCCGGGCUCAACCUGGGAAUUGCAUUCGAGACUGUGUGGCUAGAGUCCGGAAGAGGCGAGUGGAAUUCCUGGUGUAGCGGUGGAAUGCGCAGAUAUCAGGGGAACACCGAUGGCGAAGGCAGCUCGCUGGGACGGUACUGACGCUGAGGCGCGAAAGCGUGGGGAGCGAACAGG